rnacentral:rRNA from 1 species
AGACCCGAAACCCGGUGAUCUAGCCAUGGGCAGGUUGAAGGUUGGGUAACACUAACUGGAGGACCGAACCGACUAAUGUUGAAAAAUUAGCGGAUGACCUGUGGCUGGGGGUGAAAGGCCAAUCAAACCGGGAGAUAGCUGGUUCUCCCCGAAAGCUAUUUAGGUAGCGCCUCGUGAAUUCAUCUCCGGGGGUAGAGCACUGUUUCGGCUAGGGGGCCAUCCCGGCUUACCAACCCGAUGCAAACUGCGAAUACCGGAGAAUGUUAUCACGGGAGACACACGGCGGGUGCUAACGUCCGUCGUGAAGAGGGAAACAACCCAGACCGCCAGCUAAGGUCCCAAAGUCAUGGUUAAGUGGGAAACGAUGUGGGAAGGCCCAGACAGCCAGGAUGUUGGCUUAGAAGCAGCCAUCAUUUAAAGAAAGCGUAAUAGCUCACUGGUCGAGUCGGCCUGCGCGGAAGAUGUAACGGGGCUAAACCAUGCACCGAAGCUGCGGCAGCGACACUCAGGUGUUGUUGGGUAGGGGAGCGUUCUGUAAGCCUGUGAAGGUGGCCUGUGAGGGUUGCUGGAGGUAUCAGAAGUGCGAAUGCUGACAUAAGUAACGAUAAAGCGGGUGAAAAGCCCGCUCGC